AAAAUAUUGUUGUUUGACACUGAUGUACGGCUGUAAUGCUAUCUUGUUAUCAAUGUCUGUUAUUAUUUUCAAUUUUUUUAUGUUCCUAUGUUGAUUGAAAAGUCAAUUCGUUGUAACAAAUUCUUUUAUUUUAAGUUAAUAAAUCUACGUCAGUAUGCUGUGGAAUGAAAUAGGAAGAUCUAGCAUUUAUCAGUAAACUUUUACCAAGAACAUGCAAAGUAUUAAAUGUAUUUCUGUUUAUCAAAUGUUGAAAACCUCGUUUAAAGAGAUGUGCAUUAUAAUAUGAAUUAAACUAUGGUACUAACAGGAUACUUACAGUAGACAUCGGGAUGCUAAACGGCAAGGAGAGUCUAAUCCAAUGGUCCAAGAUAUGGCCAAUCAACCAAAGUAAGAACGUCAGGUUACAACUGACUGCAGUUGUGGAAAAUGCAAGCAAAUGAGUCAAGUGCUGUCAGAUGAUCCCAAACUGGACACUUUAUCUGAAGGGAUCAAAGCUGAUUGGUGAUACAUUAAAAUACACGUUAAAUAUCUAUGAGUCCGAUUAGCACGCGGAUUUCUUGCAAUUUAAAAAUGCCAGAGGAAUGUGAUGCUUUAACUUCAUCUUCACGACAAAUAUAAUGUGUUUCCAGCAAAAAACAAAAAACGUGUUACUCACUAUUGCUUUUAUAUGUUUCAGUAAAUGAUAGGAAUACUCUGCAAAACUUUUAAUCUAACAUAUAUCCAUCACAUAAACUUUAUCAACAAAAUUUGGAAUUAUAGAAAUCACAAACGUCUUAACUCUCCUCUGGUAAUGACUAUCCCUAUGAUGAUGAAACUCUACUAUUUUUGUGAUGGACUUCGAAUCUCCACACACACCUAUAAAGA
rnacentral:lncRNA from 1 species